AGGACGAACGCUGGCGGCGUGCUUAACACAUGCAAGUCGAACGCGAAAGUCCCCGAAAGGGAUAAGUAGAGUGGCAAACGGGUGAGUAACACGUGGGUGACCUGCCUUCGAGCGGGGGAUAACGUCCCGAAAGGGACGCUAAUACCGCAUAACAUCCUGCCUUUUAAGAGGUGGAGAUCAAAGCCGGGGACCGCAAGGCCUGGCACUUGAAGAGGGGCCCGCGUCUGAUUAGCUAGUUGGUGGGGUAAUGGCCUACCAAGGCAACGAUCAGUA
rnacentral:rRNA from 1 species